CCUACGGGAGGCAGCAGCCAGGAAUCUUGGGCAAUGGGCGAAAGCCUGACCCAGCAACACCGUGUGGGCGAUGAAGGCCUUCGGGUCGUAAAGCCCUGUUGAUAGGGACGAAGGGCGAAGGGUUAAUAGCCCCUAGCCUGACGGUACCUUUCGAGGAAGCCCCGGCUAACUACGUGCCAGCAGCCGCGGUAAUACGUAGGGGGCGAGCGUUGUCCGGAAUUAUUGGGCGUAAAGAGCGUGUAGGCGGUUCGGUAAGUCUGCCGUGAAAACCUGAGGCUCAACCUCGGGCGUGCGGUGGAUACUGCCGGGCUAGAGGACGGUAGAGGCGAGUGGAAUUCCCGGUGUAGCGGUGAAAUGCGCAGAUAUCGGGAGGAACACCAGUAGCGAAGGCGGCUCGCUGGGCCGUUCCUGAUGCUGAGACGCGAAAGCUAGGGGAGCGAACAGGAUUAGAUACCCUGGUAGUCCACGCCGUAAACGAUGAGUGCUAAGUGUUAGAGGGUUUCCGCCCUUUAGUGCUGCAGCUAACGCAUUAAGCACUCCGCCUGGGGAGUACGGCCGCAAGGCUGAAACUCAAAGGAAUUGACGG
rnacentral:rRNA from 1 species